CGGAGAUAUUGAAUGUAUAAUCAUUAGUUCUUCCCAAGGCCCCGUGAAAGUGUGAACAGUGUUGAGAGAACGACAGCUUGUGCCACGUGUUUAGCCUGGAAGACAAUCGACCGUCGCGUCAGAAGAAAGCGGAAAUGAUCUGCACAAUAUUUUUAUGUUCUUUAUUGUGGUCGGCGCUCUCAAUGACAGUAAGAGAGAGUGAAAAGAGCGAGCUUGAUUGUGAACUUCCUGAUGGUACAACAUUACGAAACGGAUUUGACAAGAAUAACACUCACCCUUGUGUGAACUACGACUGUCAGAAUGGAAACCUCUUUACUGAAAGCUGCAAUAACGCAAAGGACAAGUAUUGCGACACAUCGUUUGGCGGAGUGGGCCAGUUUCCCGACUGCUGCCCAGUGAUUGUUUGCGCGCAAGGCUGAAGUUCACUGAAAACCUAAAAAGGUUGUGACAGUAUCACUGACAGUAAUACAAACUUCCAGUAUAUACACAGAGAAAUUACUAAAACAUUAUUGUUGUUUAUUUCGGGCGCAAAUAACAAGUAAUCGAAGCUGUCGCCAUAAAGCUUAUAUGCUACUGCAUCGUAAGACAGCUUGGGGAGUGUCAUUACUACACUGUCAUUACUGCGAUUAUUCAUGGGGCAGUUGUACGUGCCUUCGAAAAUUACGUCUUCACAAUCAUAUUUCUCUUCACGCUAAAUGCAAGUAGAUUAGGCAACACAUGUUAUGGUUCUGUCCAUUUGGUGUUUUGAAAAGCCGCUAAAAAAUACUACCAUUUCUAAUAUGUUUGACGUCAUCUAAUACACCAACA